rnacentral:rRNA from 1 species
GGUAACGUUGGGCGGGUGGCGGGGGUAAGAAGGAGGAGGGGAGCGGUUUCGGUGGUCAUUGGGUUUAAAGGGUUGGCAGGCGGAUAUAUAAGUCGGAGGUGAAAGUCUGAUGCUCAACAUCAGCCGUGCCGUCGAUACUGUAUAUCUAGAGGCAAGUUGGAGUAGGCGGAAUGUGUUGUGUAGCGGUGAAAUGCUUAGAUAUAACACAGAACACCGAUCGCGAAGGCAGCUUACUAAACUUUGACUGACGCUCAUGCACGAAAGCGUGGGUAGCAAACAGGAUUAGAUACCCUUGUAGUC